rnacentral:rRNA from 1 species
AUGCAGAAGAUGUUUCUGUCUCAAACCCAUGAAGAGCUGCACAAUGCCUGCACUGGUUCUGAGGAAGCAGAGCUCUGGAAGAAGCACUUUGCUCCAGUAGGGCAACCUAGAGAAGUGAUUCAGGUACCUAAUGAGUGGGCUAAUUUUAUUGCACUUGCUCUGCUUUCACCAGAUAAAUUUGAGUGGGCCAAACAAAUGUUAAGGAGGUGCCUUCCCCAGCUGUUAUUUCCACCCCACCUUCCAAGACUUCAUCAGUUGGGAUGUCCUCUAGCACUUCUGCCAUCCAAUUGUAUAAAACGAGGAAGGAUAAAGCUCCACUCAUUGAAUCUCAGGUGA